rnacentral:rRNA from 1 species
UACGAAGGGUGCAAACGUUGCUCGGAAUCAUUGGGCGUAAAGCGCACGUAGGCGGCUUCGCAAGUCGGAUGUGAAAUCCCAUGGCGCAACCAUGGACGUGCAUUCGAAACUGCGAAGCUUGAGUAUGGAAGAGGGUCGCGGAAUUCCCGGCGUAGAGGUGAAAUUCGUAGAUAUCGGGAGGAACACCAGUGGCGAAGGCGACUACCUGGCCUGUUCUUGACGCUGAGGCGCGAAAGCUAGGGGAGCAAACGGG